CACUCGCGAGUGUGCUGGUCAGGAGGUCCGGCCGCGAGUGGAGCGGCGGCGCGUGGGGACUGUGGAGGUGCGGCAGGAGUGGGGCGACGCCCGGGGAGGCGGCUGCGGUCCGGCCGCGGGGAAACCAGUGAAUGAGACUGUGAGUCAGGCUGAACUCUUACCCCCACCCCUCGCCUGUCACCCAAGCCUCCCUCUCCAGACAACGCGCGCCGGAGACACGCCCGGAGCGGAGCAGCAGAGGGCGCAGGCGCGCGGGCGGCCGCCCAGCCCGGCCCGAAGGCGGCGAGCCACCCGCCGGCUGGCCGCCCUUCACCCGCCCAGAGACGGAGGGGAGGCGGAGGGGCUCUGAAGCCUCGAGGGAGCAGGUUCCCAAAAAGUGAGCUGCUGAGCCAGAGAACCCAUUCUGAAUAAAGAAAUGACUUCUGUUCGUUUGUUCCGUGUCGUGGGCACCCGCAACGUCUGGGGACCAGAGUAGGUUCUGUGGACCAAGGAUGAACAGGACAGGAUCCCUGGAAUGAGGACACUUCUGUAUUGUGGAAGAAACACCCCGUAAGUAGCCUGAAACAACGAGUUAAGUAUGACUUUGGAAAAGGCCAGGUGUGUCUCCAUCAGCUCUAAUCUUCAGAUUCAUAGAAGAAAUGGAUUCACAUCAUGGGAUUCUGCUAUACCUGUGGCUUAUUUCACAUAACAUAGGCCACCAAGAAGGGAUCUUCUCUGUCUCCUGCAAUUUAAGGACCAAGAUCUGAUUUCCACCAAGUGCAAAGCCCAGGAGGGAAACCCUGCAUGCAUGAUGAAGUGUAAGCAGAAUUUGCAUUAUGUGUGCGUGAGGCCACUGGCCUCUGAGACAGAGCAGCACCUGAAGAGGUUGAUUAAAAAAGAAACUUUGGGGCCACCUGGGUGGCUCAGUUAGUUAAGCACCAGACUUCAGCUCA